GUCUUAACCGGGCGUUAAGUUGCAGGGUAUAGACCCGAAACCCGGUGAUCUAGCCAUGGGCAGGUUGAAGGUUGGGUAACACUAACUGGAGGACCGAACCGACUAAUGUUGAAAAAUUAGCGGAUGACCUGUGGCUGGGGGUGAAAGGCCAAUCAAACCGGGAGAUAGCUGGUUCUCCCCGAAAGCUAUUUAGGUAGCGCCUCGUGAACUCAUCUCCGGGGGUAGAGCACUGUUUCGGCUAGGGGGCCAUCCCGGCUUACCAACCCGAUGCAAACUGCGAAUACCGGAGAAUGUUAUCACGGGAGACACACGGCGGGUGCUAACGUCCGUCGUGAAGAGGGAAACAACCCAGACCGCCAGCUAAGGUCCCAAAGUCAUGGUUAAGUGGGAAACGAUGUGGGAAGGCCCAGACAGCCAGGAUGUUGGCUUAGAAGCAGCCAUCAUUUAAAGAAAGCGUAAUAGCUCACUGGUCGAGUCGGCCUGCGCGGAAGAUGUAACGGGGCUAAACCAU
rnacentral:rRNA from 1 species